rnacentral:rRNA from 1 species
AGUGAACGCUGGCGGUAGGCCUAACACAUGCAAGUCGAACGGCAGCACAGUAAGAGCUUGCUCUUACGGGUGGCGAGUGGCGGACGGGUGAGGAAUACAUCGGAAUCUACUUUUUCGUGGGGGAUAACGUAGGGAAACUUACGCUAAUACCGCAUACGACCUACGGGUGAAAGCAGGGGAUCUUCGGACCUUGCGCGAUUGAAUGAGCCGAUGUCGGAUUAGCUAGUUGGCGGGGUAAAGGCCCACCAAGGCGACGAUCCGUAGCUGGUCUGAGAGGAUGAUCCGCCACACUGGAACUGAGACACGGUCCAGACUCCUACGGGAGGCAGCAGUGGGGAAUAUUGGACAAAGGGCGCAAGCCUAAUCCAGCCAUACCGCGUGGGUGAAGAAGGCCUUCGGGUUGUAAAGCCCUUUUGUUGGGAAAGAAAAGCAGCAGGUUAAUACCCCGCUGUUCUGACGGUACCCAAAGAAUAAGCACCGGCUAACUUCGUG